UUUUCUUUCCACAUGGAUGGCUUAUAAGGCGAGUUGGCUCCGUUAAACGUCUGAUCACAUUUAUAUCCGUUGCAGGUAUUAAUCUGCAUAAAUGGAGUAUUUGCUUCAGUUUAUUAUUUAGAUAUCAUCAAUCUGGUUUUGCAGGCCUGCUGAAGUUGCUAACAUCGUCAAGAGUUUGUACUGAAAAACGAGGAACUAACCACUGGAUCCGGCACAUCAUCUUGCUUGCACAUCACCCAAGGUACACCAGUCUGAAGCUGAACUGCCAUGCCUGCAGCCCAACGAACAUACGAAGGUCCUUUCUUGCCAUAAGCUGAUUCUAUAGUCUGGUACUCGUUCUCGACCUGUAUAAUUAAUUCGAGAUCAUUUCCAUACUGAAACUGGCAAAUCAAGUUGCAAACUCUCUUCCUGUUAUAGUGUUAUUCCAUCCAUAAUCCCCAAACCUGUGAGAGUAUGAUUGGACCUCCCUGCGACGCAUACAGAUUCUCUGCUUUCAUCAUGUUCACUAUCUUCCCUACGUAUCUUUGCAUGUGAUCCUACAUAUGAAACAAACACAUAUCAUUAAGCAUAUACUGUCUUGUGAAUGUCUACUACUUCCAUUACGGUUCAGAGUUUUUCGUCUCGAGUUUUUAAUGUACCUUGAAUGGUUUGUUGUCUGAUCUGAACUCAAUCCCUGGAAUGUCAUGUAACCAGAAGGGAAAUCCCCUGCAUUCAAAGAACGGCAAGGUUCGAUUACAAAAGGUACGAUACGGUUUUAAGUGAUAAUUUUGUUUGUAGUGAUUCGGUUACCCGUAAGUCCAUUCGGACUCGAUGAAGGGUCCGAUUCGGAGAGUGACGUAGAGUCCCUGAGCAUGGAUUUCCUUGAUGAAUCUUACAAUGUCUGCUCUGCCAGUGAAAUCAAACUGGAUUUUUUUUUUGCAGAAACCAGUUGGCAGGGUCAAACGAAACAGCUUUUCAUCUUUUUCCUUCUUGAAAGAGACAGAAAAGGUAAAAUUACUGACCUGUCCUUGGUUGGGUUCAUGCAAGUUCCAGAAUACGUACGUCUGUAUAACGUCUAGCCCUCCUUCUUUGGCCUUUGAUAUUAACGAUGGCCACAUCUGUCACAAAAAAUCAAAUGCCAACCACAGAGAUUGGUUCUCAUUUUUGGCCUUACUCUUCUUUCCCCAGUCCAAAAUAGUUACAGAUGACUGCACUUUUGUUUUCUUUCGGUAUAUAACUAUUUUGGUUUUUUUUUUGGAAUCGGAGGGAUUUGGAAAAUGACUUUGUGGUCGUAGGUGGUCGAGAUAUCAUAUUUGAAUGUGGAAAUAAAGUGGGAUGCGAAUCAUUUUAUGAUUUUUUCACUAAAGUGAUUUGGGAGGUGAUUUUUAAUUUAUUUUAUGAACAAGAGAUUUGCAAAAUCUCGAGUGUUGUGAGUAGAAAAUGACCGAAUUGUUUUAUUGAGUUUAGGUGAAUGUGACAAGUUAGAGGUGUAUUAGUCAUUUCUAAGAUUAUAUCUUUUCUUUUAAUUUUCAAAAUUAUACUAAAUAAAUGAAUAUUUACGAAAUCACUUACAUAUUUGAAAUCCUUCUUAUNNNNNNNNNNNNNNNNCUUCUUAUUUUAAAUCUCUUACUAUUUGAAAUCAUUUUCAACCAAACCAAAAAAUCAAACUAGGCAUAAAAUAUAUGGCUUAGUUUGGAUUGGGAGAUUUCAGAUAUUGAGCUCCAAAUUUUUAUUAUAUAAAAUUGGACCUUAAUUCCCAUUUCCACGGGGAUUGUGGCCUAUCUCAUAUGAACAAUCCUUAAUCCGAAACUAGCCUCCUGUGAAUUGUGAUUUGAUUGACCUGUAAUCUGAUCAAAUCAAAUGAAUGUGUGACUUUAUUACCUCGUAAUAUAUAAUUUAAUUAAUUUUCCUGUUCGAUAUCAUUAAAAAUGUACUGAGAAUGUCAUUGAAACGUUGGUUAGCCUAGUGAUUAAGAGGGUUCUAAUUAAGAUUAAGAGGGUUCUAAUUAAGAUUAAGAGGGUUUUAAUUAGGAUUAGGCUAUAAAUCAACUGUUUUCUUGUAGCUAGUUGUGCUACAAUGAUAAUUGUUCAUUGAAGAUCGAGCUGGUUUUCUGUUGUUAUCGAAGACGUUGGUUUUAUAUAUCCAAUAAAAAAUUUAAUUAAACGUGAAGGAAAUCGGAGAACGUAACCGUGAGAGCCGUGGCUUUUAGUUCACGUACGCAAAAUAAAGACAUUUUCCAGAGAAUGGCCCAAACUUUUCUGUUUUGUUUCACCAUGUGAGGUUCAUCGCCCAAUAAUAGUAAUAAUAAAUUUAUUUGUAAAAAAUUGAGAGGAUUGGAAUUUUAGAUGUUAUUUUCACACAAAAAAAUUGUGGAUAUGUAAUUGUAAGUUGCAACCCGAAUUUACAAUUUUACAUGAAAAUAUUAGGGGGAGUAGUUAGAAUUGAAAAAACCCUAAUUAUUAAGUCUUAAGUUAAGGUAUAUUAUGGUGACAAUUCAAAAAUAUCGGAUUUGAGUCUAGCAUACUCCAUAAACAAAACAGAAAUUUGGGUACGUUGUUCUAUCUAUCAUGAAAAAAGUGAAUGAAUACUAUCGCUUGGAUUCGAACUGAAAUAAAUCACAUAAUCUUUAAAUUUAAACAUGCAUGCUUCAUUAUUUUUACAUAACUUGAGCUAUGUUGAGACGAAUUUUGGGUUAUGGAACAUGGAACAAUAAGAAGGUUGAAACGUACAGUGUACUGUAAUUGGAAGAUUGAACUAUAAUUUACUGUAGUUUACUGUUUAAGUGAUUGAACCAGAUGUUAGAUUUAACCAUACAGUUGAACCGAAGCAACCUACCAGACUACAUUUCUUCUGACUGAUUUUAUUUUGCGACUGAUAAACCAGAGAGCAACCACAAAAGACGACAGCCGGAGAAGAGUGUGACAAUACAAAAGAACGUACCUCGGGAGUGCUGCGUGGAUAAUGGAUGGAACCGGAGAAGAGAAUCCGGUGGUGGCCGUUGAUGAUCAGAGACCUCCCGUCGUAGCUCACUCCUUGAUCACUACCAUUCAUCCUACCAACAGUUGAAAGAUGAUGAUCGUCGGUUCCCACUGCCUCAGUGCCGUUCAUCGCCGUUGUCAACAUUAUUAUUACCACUGCCACCGUAGCCGCUGCGGCCAUCAUAAUCGAAAACUGAUUCAGAGGAGAAAGAAACACAGAG
rnacentral:lncRNA from 1 species